rnacentral:rRNA from 1 species
AUUGAACGCUGGCGGAAUGCCUUACACAUGCAAGUCGAACGGCAGCACGGGAGCAAUCCUGGUGGCGAGUGGCGAACGGGUGAGUAAUACAUCGGAACGUGCCCAAUCGUGGGGGAUAACGUAGCGAAAGCUACGCUAAUACCGCAUACGAUCUACGGAUGAAAGCGGGGGAUCGCAAGACCUCGCGCGAAUGGAGCGGCCGAUGGCAGAUUAGGUAGUUGGUGGGGUAAAGGCUCACCAAGCCUUCGAUCUGUAGCUGGUCUGAGAGGACGACCAGCCACACUGGGACUGAGACACGGCCCAGACUCCUACGGGAGGCAGCAGUGGGGAAUUUUGGACAAUGGGCGCAAGCCUGAUCCAGCCAUUCCGCGUGCAGGAUGAAGGCCUUCGGGUUGUAAACUGCUUUUGGACGGAACGAAAAGCCAUUUCCUAAUACGGGGUGGUCAUGACGGUACCGUCAGAAUAAGCACCGGCUAACUACGUG